GAUGAAGAACGCAGCGAAAUGCGAUAAGUAAUGUGAAUUGCAGAAUUCAGUGAAUCAUCGAAUCUUUGAACGCACAUUGCGCCCAUUAGCAUUCUAGUGGGCAUGCCUGUUCGAGCGUCAUUUCAACCCUUAAGCCCUGUUGCUUAGCGUUGGGAGCCUACAGUACUGUAGCUCCCCAAAGUUAGUGGCGGAGUCGGUUUCACACUCUAGACGUAGUAAUUUUUUCUCGUCUGUAGUUGAGCCGGUCCCCUGCCGUAAAACACCCAAUUUAUCAAGGUUGACCUCGGAUCAGGUAGUAAUACCCGCUGAACUUAAGCAUAUCAAUAAGCGGAGGA
rnacentral:misc_RNA from 1 species